GCCUCUGUGGCGCAGUGGUUUGAGCCUUGGACUAUGACUCUGGAGUUCAGGGUUCGAUUUUCUGCUCAGCCC